rnacentral:rRNA from 1 species
GCAAGUCGAACGAGGUGCUUUUGUAGCAAUACGAGGGUAUCCUAGUGGCGAACGGGUGAGUAACGCGUUGGUGACCUGCCCCAAAGUGUGGGAUAACAGUUCGAAAGGACUGCUAAUACCGCAUGUGGUCAUCGGAUUUAGAAACCGAUGUCUAAAGCAGUAAUGCGCUUUGGGAGGGACCUGCGUCCCAUCAGCUAGUUGGUGAGGUAACGGCCCACCAAGGCGACGACGGGUAGGGGACCUGAGAGGGUGACCCCCCACAAUGGAACUGAAACACGGUCCAUACACCUACGGGUGGCAGCAGUAGGGAAUAUUGCACAAUGGGCGAAAGCCUGAUGCAGCAACGCCGCGUGCACGAAGAAGGUCUUCGGAUCGUAAAGUGCUUUUCUGAGAGAUGAGAAAGGACAGUAUCUCAGGAAUAAGUCUCGGCUAACUACGUGCCAGCAGCCGCGGUAAAACGUAGGAGGCAAGCGUUAUCCGGAUUCACUGGGCGUAAAGCGUGUGCAGGCGGUUCGGUAAGUUGGGCGUGAAAUCUCCCGGCUCAACUGGGAGAGGUCGUUCAAUACUACCGGACUAGAGAGCAGUAGAGGAAGAUGGAAUUCCCGGUGUAGUGGUGAAAUGCGUAGAUAUCGGGAGGAACACCAGUGGCGAAGGCGAUCUUCUGGACUGUUUCUGGCGCUCAUACACGAAAGCUAGGGUAGUAAACGGGAUUAGAGACCCCGGUAAUCCUAGCUGUAAACGAUGUGAACUUGGCGUCGGUGGCUUAAACACUAUCGGUGCCGAAGCAAACGCGAUAAGU